GGAGAGGUGGCUGAGUGGUCGAAAGCGCGCCCCUGCUAAGGGUGUAUACCUUCACGGGUAUCGAGGGUUCGAAUCCCUUCCUCUCUACCA
rnacentral:tRNA from 1 species